GACGAACCGUGCGAACGUUGUUCGGAAUCACUGGGCUUAAAGGGCGCGUAGGCGGCUCGCGAGGUCGGGGGUGAAAUCCCACAGCUUAACUGUGGAAGUGCCUUCGAUACCGGCGGGCUAGAGGAAGGUAGGGGUGCGCGGAACUUCUGGUGGAGCGGUGAAAUGCGUUGAUAUCAGAAGGAACGCCGGCGGCGAAAGCGGCGCACUGGACCUUUGCUGACGCUGAGGCGCGAAAGCCAGGGGAGCAAACGGG
rnacentral:rRNA from 1 species